rnacentral:lncRNA from 1 species
GGUAUGCUUAUCCUGAAAAACCUGAAAUUUAAUGGAACAGCUAUAGUUUAUUGGGGAAACUUUGUCAUCUGAAAUGUUGUUUCUAGGUUUGAAUACGUUGAGUUUCUUGCAUUGUUCAGAAAGCCUAUUCAGGCUAAUCGUCUAAAAUCUUUAUGUUUGUUUAACAAUAGGGAGAAUCAUCUUGCAAGAAGGACAUUUCACCCUGAGGACAGAGAGCUACAGUGGUUUCUUGCUUGUAAAGGGUGUCUGUGUAAUGGAUAUUCCUUUUAGCUUUACUUCUCUUAUAUGGCCUGGCUACUCCUGGCUUUUACGAAGCCAAGGUCCAAAAUUCUAAAUGUCUGAUUUUAGUUGGAUAUUUUAAGUUAUCAAAAUCCCACUUCACUAAGGAUGCUUCAUCCAGUGGCUAGUGACACAGCCUAGAAGGACCGUUGUAUAUAUUAGCUGUUUU